rnacentral:tRNA from 2 species
GGACGUAUAGCUCAGUUGGUAGAGCAGCUGACUCUUAAUCAGCGGGUCCUAGGUUCGAGCCCUAGUGCGUCCACCA